GCUAUGAGGAUUCGACUAAGCCAUGCAAGUCUAGGGGGGCGCAAGUCCACCGGCAAAAUGCUCAGUAACACGUCACUAACCUGCCCUAUAGUCUAGGAUAACCUUGGAAAACUGAGGCUAAUACUGGAUAGGAAAUUAUGUCUGGAAUGGCUUAUUUCCCAAAGAUUACGCUGUAGGAUGGGGUGGCGGUCGAUUAGGCUGUUGGCGGGGUAAUGGCCCACCAAACCAACGAUCGGUACGGGCCCUGAGAGGGGUAGCCCGGAGAGGGACACUGAGAUACUGGUCCCAGCCCUACGGGGUGCAGCAGGCGCGAAACCUUUACAAUGCACGAAAGUGUGAUAGGGGAAUCCUAAGUGCUUACGCAAAGCGUAGGCUUUUGCUAAGGGUAAGGACCUUGGCGAAUAAGUGGUGGGAAAGACUGGUGCCAGCCGCCGCGGUAACACCAGCGCCACGAGUGGGGAUCGCUAUUAUUGGGCCUAAAGCGUCCGUAGCCUGUUUAAUAAAUCCUUUGUGAAAUCGUCAAGCUUAACUUGACGGCGUGCAGAGGACACUGUUAAACUAGGGACCGGGAGGAGCUGGAGGUAUUUCUGGGGGAGCGGUAAAAUGCAAUAAUCCCAGACAGACCACCUGUGGCGAAGGCGUCCAGCCAGAACGGAUCCGACGGUGAGGGACGAAAGCUAGGGGAGCGAACCGGAUUAGAUACCCGAGUAGUCCUAGCCGUAAACUCUGCGAGCAAGGUGUUGCACAUUCUUCGUGAAUGUGCAGUGUCGAAGCGAAGGCAUUAAGCUCGCCGCCUGGGAAGUAUAGUCGCAAGACCGAAACUUAAAGGAAUUGGCGGGGGAGCACUACAAGGGGUGCGGCGUGCGGUUUAAUCUAACUCAACACAGAAAAUCUCACCAGAUGCGACGGCAGGAAGAUAGUCAGUCUAACGGGCUUACUGGACGAGCCGAGAGGUAGUGCAUGGCCGCCGUCAGCUCGUGCCGUAAGGUGUCCUCUUAAGUGAGGCAACGAGCGAGACCUGUACCUACAAUUGCUAGCGGCAAUUUUUGGACCGAGCACAUUGUAGGGACUGCCUUGGAAACAAGGAGGAAGGUGCAGGCUACGGUAGGUCUGUAUGCUCCGAAUCUUCUGGGCUACACGCGCGCAACAAUGGUAAGGACAAUGGGAUACGACCCCGAAAGGGGGAGUUAAACCUCGAAACCUUAUCUAAGUACAGAUUGAGGGCUGUAACUCGCCCUCAUGACGAUGGAAUCCCUAGUAAUCGGAAGUCAACAACUUCCGGUGAAUAUGUCCCUGCUCCUUGCACACACCGCCCGUCAAACCAACCGAGCAGGGUUUAGGUGAGUCUAUAUUUUUUGAUAUAGCCGAACCUAAGCUCAGUGAGGUGGGUUAAGUCGUCACAAGGUA
rnacentral:rRNA from 1 species